UCAAAAAUGAAAGAAAUGAAAGUCUCUUUUAUUUCUCCGUUUUGUGUGGUAUACAAUUCAAGGAUGAGAGAAAAUCCAAAGAAGAAAAGCACAAAAGAUAAGCACAAGAGGUAUGAGAUGAAUUGCUUUUGUCCGGUUGAUGACUUACCAUGAAAAGGAAUUUCCUUCUUGGAAUCGGAACCAUCAGAAACAGAGCGUUGUAUUAAUGGCAAUUCAUUAGAA
rnacentral:lncRNA from 1 species